GCCAGGUGGGGUGGCCCGCACCUGUAAUCCCAGCUACUCAGGAGGCUGAGGCAGGAGAAUCACUUGAACCCAGGAGGCAGAGGUUGCAGUGAGCCGUGAUUGUGCCACUGCACUCCAGCCUGGGUGACAGAGUGAGACUCUGUCUCAA
rnacentral:SRP_RNA from 1 species